AUUGAACGCUGGCGGCAUGCCUUACACAUGCAAGUCGAACGGCAGCGGGGGAGAAGCUUGCCUUUCCUGCCGGCGAGUGGCGAACGGGUGAGUAAUACAUCGGAACGUGCCCUGUAGUGGGGGAUAACUAGUCGCAAGAUUAGCUAAUACUGCAUACGACCUGAGGGUGAAAGUGGAGGACCGCAAGGCCGCAGGCUAUAGGAGAGGCCGGUGUCUGAUUAGCUAGUUGGUGGGGUAAAGGCCUACCAAGGCGACGAUCAGUAGCGGGUCUGAGAGGACGAUCAGCCACACUGGGACUGAGACACGGCCCAGACUCCUACGGGAGGCAGCAGUGGGGAAUUUUGGACAAUGGGCGAAAGCCUGAUCCAGCAAUGCCGCGUAUGUGAAGAAGGCCUUCGGGUUGUAAAGCACUUUUGUCCGGAAAGAAAUGGCUCUGGUUAAUACCUGGGGUCGAUGACGGUACCGGAAGAAUAAGGACCGGCUAACUACGUGCCAGCAGCCGCAGUAA
rnacentral:rRNA from 1 species